rnacentral:rRNA from 1 species
UACGGAGGAUGCAAGCGUUAUCCGGAAUGAUUGGGCGUAAAGCGUCCGCAGGUGGCUAUGUAAGUCUGCUGUUAAAGAGUGAGGCUCAACCUCAUAAGAGCAGUGGAAACUACAUGGCUAGAGUGCGUUCGGGGCAGAGGGAAUUCCUGGUGUAGCGGUGAAAUGCGUAGAGAUCAGGAAGAACACCGGUGGCGAAAGCGCCUCUGCUAGGCCGCAACUGACACUCAUGGACGAAAGCUAGGGGAGCGAAUGGG